rnacentral:rRNA from 1 species
UACGUAGGGCGCAAGCGUUAUCCGGAAUUAUUGGGCGUAAAGAGCUCGUAGGCGGUUUGUCGCGUCUGCCGUGAAAGUCCGGGGCUCAACUCCGGAUCUGCGGUGGUACGGGCAGACUAGAGUGAUGUAGGGGAGACUGGAAUUCCUGGUGUAGCGGUGAAAUGCGCAGAUAUCAGGAGGAACACCGAUGGCGAAGGCAGGUCUCUGGGCCACUACUGACGCUGAGAAGCGAAAGCAUGGGGAGCAAACAGG